rnacentral:lncRNA from 1 species
CCGCCGGCGGUAAGAGCAUACUGUAAGCGCAUCGUGGGCUCCUACAAAUUUUCGUGUACUGUCGCAAUGCCUGUUUUCGUAGAAUAUGAGAUUCAUGCGACCACUGCGGUAGUCGACCAUAUCCACUGUGCAAUACUUCGGUCCGGUAAACCCGACCGCUCCGUACGAGAUGUGGUGGAACGGCGGUGACGGCACUUGGGAUGGAUACCAGAGCAACCAGAGUGCUGCGCCUGGCUGGCUUAUGUCAGGUCUGGCAUCUGGAUUGGCAAGCAGGCUUCGGGGACGUUGGUCUUUGUCAUGUCUGAUUUGAUGUUCUGGCAUUUGGUGUCCAAUGUUUUGGACAGCAGAUGAGCUGAAAAAAAAAAACCGAAGCACGACUGGAACUUUGUGCGAAAAGUCUUGGUGAAAGGAAAGGGCAACAUCCUGCCCAGCCUCCACAUCACAGAAGCUGUCGUCCCUUAAAGUUGACACGCAGAUGCCAUUGGCUCAGGAGGACAGCAUCGAGUUCAUUAUUGGUCAUCAAAGGACGAUGGAAAGGCCUCUUCGGAGUCUACAUGGGGUCUGCAGUGAGCGAGGACGAGGGAAGAAAAGGAUGAAGGAUGUGCGGCGGCACCUCUCCCAGAAACUGGCGGAUUGCCAGAGAAAGUAGAACAAUGCUCACUUCGAACUAUAAAAAAUUUGAAUGACAUCCCCUAGGCAUUUGUUGACUUCAUUACCUGGCGGCUUUGUAUGUUUGUCUAACAAACGAGCCCUUAAUUAACUCCUCUUUUGUUCAUAGUAGAACAUGUAGUUUUACAGAUUUUUCUACGGACAGAAUCAAGUAAAAGGCAGAAAAAACUUGUAACACUUCAUUCAAACAUAUGGUAAUACACACUCCAUUCAUUAUAUGAUGCCAUAUUUAAAGCGCACCCAAACUAUGGGCUUGAAGUGUGACUGGUGUGGCCGUAGCGCUACCUCUUGGUGCUGGUGUGCUCUGCUUCGUGGUGGUUGCACUAGGAGUGUUUCAGUUGAAAUGCACAUUGAAGCACACAAAUUAGCCGACUUUUAUAGGAUCUUGCAUGCCCGAACUUGUAUCGCAGGGACUCUAGCCUGCAACGUUGCCUAUGUUGGGUCGUGGUCAUCUUGGCUUGGCCAUGCUGUGAUUUGGCAUACUAAGCUGCAUAAGAUGGUUCCAGUGGGUGACGGUGGUUCUUAGA